rnacentral:tRNA from 1 species
GGGACCGUGGCGUAAUGGCAGCGUGCGGGCCUUUUAAGCCCUGAGGCGAGGGUUCGAAUCCUUCCGGUCCUA